CUCGGAGUUUGAUCCUGGCUCAGGAUGAACGCUAGCGGCAGGCUUAACACAUGCAAGUCGAGGGGUAUAGUAGCAAUACUAGAGACCGGCGCACGGGUGCGUAACGCGUAUGCAAUCUACCUUUUGCAGAGGGAUAGCCCAGAGAAAUUUGGAUUAAUACCUCAUAGUAUAGUACAAUCGCAUGAUUGAACUAUUAAAGUCACAACGGCAAAAGAUGAGCAUGCGUCCCAUUAGUUAGUUGGUAAGGUAACGGCUUACCAAGACUACGAUGGGUAGGGGUCCUGAGAGGGAGACUCCCCCGACACUGGUACUGAGACACGGACCAGACUCGUACGGGGAGGCAGCAGUGGGGUAAUUUUGGACAAUGGACGCAAGUCUGAUCCCAGCCC
rnacentral:rRNA from 1 species